UACGGGGGGGGCAAGCGUUGUUCGGAAUUACUGGGCGUAAAGGGCUCGUAGGCGGCCAACUAAGUCAGACGUGAAAUCCCUCGGCUUAACCGGGGAACUGCGUCUGAUACUGGAUGGCUUGAGUUUGGGAGAGGGAUGCGGAAUUCCAGGUGUAGCGGUGAAAUGCGUAGAUAUCUGGAGGAACACCGGUGGCGAAGGCGGCAUCCUGGACCGACGACUGACGCUGAGGAGCGAAAGCCAGGGGAGCAAAGCGGG
rnacentral:rRNA from 1 species